CAUACAAAUCCCAUCAGACAUCAUACCAACACCAAAUAUCAAACACAACAUGAUAAAAAAAUGCAUUCAGUUUGGGCCAUAGAAAAAGAAUAGGUUUGUUUGCCCAAACCCUACCUACCCAGAAAAAAGCUGCCUACUCAAAUUCGUAUAUUGUCCUGAUUUGAAGAAGUUUUUUUUUAAUCAGAUAGGCAUGAAGACUAAUGAAAAUCCGAUACUUCAAUUUCUUUAAAAAAAAAAUUAAAAAAAAUGCCUACCUACCUUCCCACUAUUUCAACCUUGGGUAGGGUUUGGGCAAACCAAAAUAUUUUUAAUUGUGGCCUUGAUUACUGACAUAUUCUAAUGUAAAAAAAUAACACAUAUU
rnacentral:lncRNA from 1 species